GGUUGAAAGAGAUUUCGGAUUCAUAAAAAUGAAGUUGUCCCUCAGUAUAGCACUGCUCGUGGCUACAUGCCUAGUAGUCUGCAGAGCACAGACAGGCAGUGUCUUCAACUGCAAGAACCCGGGUAACAACUGCAUCAACGGAGUGUGCAACUACUCCAACGGCAUUUGCGUUUGCAACACUGGCUAUGAAGGAGAGAGCUGCCACAUCU